AGAGAGCUGUCAUCAGUUAAUCAUGAAAGCACUUUAAAAGGAGCAGUAUUGAAGAUAGCCUUAAGUGAAGUAGAAAAUCUACCUUGGUCUGGAAGGACCUAUGCAAUGUUACGUGAAAUGAACAUGUGGAUGAGAAGUUGAAUUUGAUAUUGUUGAACUCUAUUUUGCUGACACCUAGGUGGUUAUGGCGAACUUGUGGCAAAGACAAGGAAGGACUUCACCUUGAUGAGGGUUGAGGCAGUGACAGAGAACCCUAAUGGAAGAAACUAGUUGUCUUGUACACUUGCUGCUAAAAUGAACCCUCUGAUAACUCCUCUUGCUACAAAACUGGUCAUCCAACAAAGCUCACCCAUUGCUGAUUUUUGGUGAAAGCGCCUGUUGUACUUCCAUGCAAGCUUGUGGCGCAAGCAGCACUGAGAUCAGGAAAGAUACAUCUGUGACAUCAGCAGUUAGGCGACCAAAGCUUAAUGGGAAAAUAGUGUUUGGCCUUCUUCCAUAGUCAGAGCUGUGUCUGCAGGUGAUAUCUAACCCAACUUUUUGCAUCACCUUUUUAGGUUGUAAUAUUGUCAUACUUCCCUUUGGCUAUCGAGGACACUAUCAGUUCAUGUGUAAUCUAAUUUUGAAUUAUCUUUACUUGCUUUGUAUUGGCAUGAAUUCUGUUCUCUGAAAGUUUCUUCAGCUCAAUAUACAUUACCUGUCUAUUUUCAAUUUAUUUAGUUCUUGGUGAUACUUUUAGAA